AACGAACGCUGGCGGCAUGCCUAACACAUGUAAGUCGAACGAGACCUUCGGGUCUAGUGGCGCACGGGUGCGUAACGCGUGGGAACCUGCCCUUAGGUUCGGAAUAACUCCCCGAAAGGGGUGCUAAUACCGGAUAAUGUCUUCGGACCAAAGAUUUAUCGCCUUUGGAUGGGCCCGCGUUGGAUUAGCUAGUUGGUAGGGUAAAAGCCUACCAAGGCGACGACCAUAGCUGGUCUGAGAGGAUGAUCAGCCACACUGGGACUGAGACACGGCCCAGACUCCUACGGGAGGCAGCAGUGGGGAAUAUUGGACAAUGGGCGAAAGCCUGAUCCAGCAAUGCCGCGUGAGUGAUGAAGGCCUUAGGGUUGUAAAGCUCUUUUACCCGGGAUGAUAAUGACAGUACCGGGAGAAUAAGCUCCGGCUAACUCCGUG
rnacentral:rRNA from 1 species